UGGGGAGGCCUCCUGGCUGACUGAGGAAAGCAGAGGGUGGAGCCACCCUGACUCCAUGUCCAUCAGGCUUCGGGAGACUGGACAUCUUCUCCAGAUUCACCACAGGCACGAAAAGGCUACACGUGGAGAGAGGGAGGUGGAGAGAGCAACUGAGGGCGCCCCUCACCGCAAUGCUUCUGGAAGGCUUGAGGCUUCACCACCUGGCUGCAGUGGUUACAUACAACCAAAUAGAAGUCAUCAUGGGCAGGGCAGUGCCCGAAGAUGGACAUGUCUGCAAUGACAGAAGUCUUUAUCACUGGGGUUAAGGACUCAGGAUUUCUCUAGAUCAAAGAGCACUCUCACCCCACUUAGAAGGCACUCUGCCUUCCAACUGACAUGUGGGCUUUUAGGGGGAUGCUCCCAGCUUCCACAGUCCAGUCUAACCAGACCCAAAGUGUAUGGGCUUUCCUGUAAGUGGGCACCAACUAUGAUGAGGAUCUCCAACAACAGGCCACAGGAGCCAGGGCAACUGGCUGACUCAGACCUAUCAAAAUGAGCUCCCCCGCCCCCCACUGGUCUUGCUGCUUCAGGCUACCUCCCCAAGAGGGAGAGGAAAGGUGGUUCAAUUUUCCCGGAGUCUCAGUCCUGUGUGUGUUGACGCCCACCUUCUUUAAUGAGGGUCAUGGCGUCCAGCUUCUUCACGUUUUUGUUACUCUCCUCCAGUUCAGCCCCUGGAGGAGAAGCAGAGCUCAGAAGGCCCAUCCCCUUCUCAGAACCCAGCAGGGCUGCAGCCCAGCGGUAUGAAGCCCAACUCCCUGACAAGCACUCAGAAUUCCUGGAGAAACUUUCAAUGGGUCAUUCACAGGUGCCCAUUUUUCCUUCAUGUGCCCUCUGAGAUGAGAUGACCCAUUAAGAAGGAUCAUAAAGUCUCUUCACUCUCAGGUACACUACAGGGCUCCACUGCUAACUAGACGGGUAACUGUGGGUAAAUGUCUCUUUUCUGGGUCUUGCUUCCCCUUUUUGAGGCUGCUUACAUGGGUCGUUUCUGCUACUCUGUGGCAUCCCAGAGAAGUACCCUCCCAGAGCCCCACCCCCAUAAACUCAUUUUGCUCCACCCAAGUUACCAUAGU